GAUCUGAUGGGCUCUUAUAGAAUGUCCUGCAGUGGGGGGAAAGGAAGUGGUCUUUAUUUAGCUGUGUGAGUGAGAUAGACCUAGGCAAGCUAGCUUCUGGGCGCUGUAGCUGGGGGGGAUGUAUGUAUGUAGAGGAACUGCUUUUGUGUUAUAUUUUGCUAAUGUUUUAAAGACUAAAACUGUGUCUGAAAGAGACUGGGGAGUGGUAGUGAGUCCUUUUGGGGAGAAUCGGGAGAUCCUGCCUUUGUGAGGGAAAACUGAGGCAGUAGCUAUCCUAAAGCCCACCUGGGUAAGGUGGUCCUGCUAUGUGCUCUGUAACUUUAGUCUGUCUCCUGAACUAUAUCUAGUAAAACUCCAAAAGUCAGAUCCUCCACUAACUCAGAGACCCUGUCUCAAUAAAGCCCCAUGAUUGAUGAUUUGGUAGAAGAGCUGGGAGAAAGAGGAUAGCCUCUUAUACUCUGAUUCAGAGUCUUAAGAGUGUGGGUUGAGACUUGACUACAGAAGCUUGAACAGAUGGAGAAAUUGAGGCACAGCAAAGAUGAAGUAACUUGCCAAAGGUCCAACAGUGAGUCUGGGGAACACAGGAAUGAAAUUCCAGCCCAGGAAUGAAUAACAAAACAUCAAACACUGACACCACUUGGUUGGCUUUUGAUGCUAUUGCUUGCAGUCUUAUUCUAAAAGCCUCUUUUAAAAAAUACAAACAAGAAAUUCUGCCUGGUCUCUAAAAUUGGAAAGGACACCAGGCCCUCCAAUUUAAAUUUGUCUGAACUCCCCACUUAUAUUUUCCUAGCUGCAGGCUUGGAAUGAUUCCAUACAGAGCUCUUCCAUGGGUAACUUUUAUAAUCUUUCCUGGCUCUUAUGUAGCCUUUUUUCAUUGAUGUAUCUCAGUGUUUCACAGCGGAGGUUGGUAGCAUUAUCCCUGCUUUACAGAUGGGCUAACUGAGGUAUGGCGAGAUGAAAGUGACAUGCCCAAGGUCACCUGCAGACUAGAAG